rnacentral:rRNA from 1 species
CUGCUCAGGACGAACGCUGUCGGCGUUGCCUUAUACAUGCAAGUCGAGCGGACAGAUGGGAGCUUGCUCCCUGAUGUUAGCGGCGGACGGGUGAGUAACACGUGGGUAACCUGCCUGUAAGACUGGGAUAACUCCGGGAAACCGGGGCUAAUACCGGAUGCUUGAUUGAACCGCAUGGUUCAAUUAUAAAAGGUGGCUUUUAGCUACCACUUACAGAUGGACCCGCGGCGCAUUAGCUAGUUGGUGAGGUAACGGCUCACCAAGGCAACGAUGCGUAGCCGACCUGAGAGGGUGAUCGGCCACACUGGGACUGAGACACGGCCCAGACUCCUACGGGAGGCAGCAGUAGGGAAUCUUCCGCAAUGGACGAAAGUCUGACGGAGCAACGCCGCGUGAGUGAUGAAGGUUUUCGGAUCGUAAAACUCUGUUGUUAGGGAAGAACAAGUACCGUUCGAAUAGGGCGGUACCUUGACGGUACCUAACCAGAAAGCCACGGCUAACUACGUGCCAGCAGCCGCGGUAAUACGUAGGUGGCAAGCGUUGUCCGGAAUUAUUGGGCGUAAAGCGCGCGCAGGCGGUUUCUUAAGUCUGAUGUGAAAGCCCCCGGCUCAACCGGGGAGGGUCAUUGGAAACUGGGGAACUUGAGUGCAGAAGAGGAGAGUGGAAUUCCACGUGUAGCGGUGAAAUGCGUAGAGAUGUGGAGGAACACCAGUGGCGAAGGCGACUCUCUGGUCUGUAACUGACGCUGAGGCGCGAAAGCGUGGGGAGCGAACAGGAUUAGAUACCCUGGUAGUCCACGCCGUAAACGAUGAGUGCUAAGUGUUAGAGGGUUUCCGCCCUUUAGUGCUGCAGCAAACGCAUUAAGC